GUGUGAAAAACAUAGCCUCCAAGGGGGACCAUUUAAAGAUUUUAAGCAGUGAUGUGACAUAAUUAGGUUUUUGUUUCAAAAGGUCGCUUUGACACCUGAACACAUCGUGGAGGCUGGACUGGAGGGAAGUGAGACUGGAGAGACCCAGAGAGAAGGCAGAGCAAGAACUGGCUACUCUGGGCUCCAUCCCAGGGUCAGCAUCCACUUUAGAUGGCGCCGGGGUUCACGGCUUGCCAGUCUCCACCUAGCUGCUUCUCCCAUUCAUAUUUCCUGCCUGGCCCAUGACCACCUUUGCCUUUGCAACCCCUGCCUUUGACUGUUUUUCGUCUUGUAUAUCCAGUCGGCCACCAAAUUCUGUUGUUUCUUCCCUCAGAUUACCUCAGAUUUGUUCCUCUCUCCAUUACUAUCCCAUCAUCCUAGAUUAGACACUUCAGGCUUGGGUUUCUCCAGGAACCUCUUCACGGUUCUUCUUGCUUUCAGUCUGUCUGCCCACCAAUCUUACAUCGCCACUGCUUAGCUUCUCUUGGUUCUUCAUGACAUAUUGCAGUACAGUUUUGUACAUUUUUGUUUCAGAUUUCUCCUCUUCUUCCCAGUCUUUGGCUUCUGUAGAAAAUUCUAAGCAGAGCAGAAGAUUAAAAUAGUGACUAGUGCAUUUCCAGUCUCUAGAAGCAGUGAUAACCAUGUUUCCUUUGCCUCUUUUUAUGCCAGAUAUUUGUAGAGUUAGCAGGACUUAAAAGGCAAGGGGACACCUUUCCCUCUUGCCACUUGCCUCUUGCCACUUUUUCCUCAGUGAAAGAUUUUGUGAAGAAGUGGAAUUUCAAGUUGAGUGGGUAAGAUUAUUUCAGGGAAUAUUAUAUUUGAGACUUCAUGCUAUCGGAUGCUCCCAAAGGGUGGUAAAUAACUACUGGGGUUGGUAAUAAUGAUGAAGGGUGGUAAUAGGAAAAUAGGGAAACUAUCUAUGUACCUAGGAAGAUUCUUGGGCCAAGUGUGAGAGGGCAGAGAAGAACUGGGGCCUUCCUGGGCACUCACAGAGGUGCUGGUCCAGGCCCAGAUGGAGCAGACAGGUGAAAUAUGGUUCACGUGGAGCUUGAAUCAUCAAGGAAAUAAAUGUAUGUGGUUGCUUCUCCUGACAAUUCUUAAAUUUCUCUCUUAGGAAUCUUUGGCCAUCUAUGAAACAAUUUCCAUGGGAAAAUGACUUGUUUGGACUGUAUUUUCACAAAGCUGAUAUUUCUGGCCCUUAGAAUAUGAUACCUGUUUGUCUAAAAAACAUAUAUCUAUUCAGAUAGGACAAAAUUCCUUUUCACUGCAGUAUUGGGAGCCUGGAACUAGAGUUACCAACCCCUCUGCGUUAAAGAAGGAGCUGUCCUGAGGCUUCCAUCUCUACUGGGCUUGAGGCAAGAACAUUGUUAGGGACGGCCUGCUCUUGGCCUCUGUGCCCCAGGGAUUGCAAAUGCAUGUUCCUCAAAGGUAAGGGCUGUAUCAUUCGGCUUUCUUUGUAUUCACAGGUACAGCUUGUGCUAGGCAGCCGGUGUUC
ensembl:lncRNA novel transcript